GAUCUUCAAAACUUAAUCCAUGAAAAGAAGGCAUCAUAUUAAAGUGGAUAUUUUUCAAUUCAAAAUUCCUGGCAACUGCAGGGAGAACGAUGCUUGAAGGUGACGUCGGAAUUGUCGGGAUAUCAAGGUCUCCCAUUGUUUCAUUCUGUACAAGGGCAAUCUCGUCUUCUCCUUGUUGAUUCUUCUUUUCUCUAUCUUGUUUUUGACUCCAACGAAUUUCUCGAAGCUUCUGUUCAAUCUCAGGUUCCAAUUCAACUAGUUGGUUAGUUGAAGAUCGGGUACCAGUCAUUCACCGUAUGCUCAGAAACAGAGUUAUUGUACCUACAAAACAAGGACAAAGGAUUGUUUAAAUAAGGAGAGAAUAAUAGAAUUAAAGAAGGAAAUAAAACCCAAACACAAUUAGGAAAAGAAACUUUAAUAAAAGGAACAGAAAGUUGAAUGAAAAUAGGAAUGGAAUUCCUAAUGGCUGCGUGAAACUCUCCUUUUUUUUCCCUUCAUGCGAGCUGGCUGUUUGGGCUGGUUUCUUGCUUCCUUUUGGUUUGUUUGUGGUCUGAAUCCCUCACGUUCUCUCCUCUCCUUUUUUUUCUUUUUUCUUUUUUUUUUGGGGGUUGGAAAUCAAAUGGAACUAAAGGAGUACCUGAAAUAAAAUAAAAUAAAAUAAAAAAAUUAACUAAUUAAAUAUUCAAAAUAUAACUAGAAAAUAAAGCGCACUAAUAUUAACAGAUUAAGUCAAUCCCCCACAGCGGCACCGAAAUUUGAUGUGAUUAAUUGCAAGUGGACAAUAUCGCUCAAAUUAAUAUAGUAGUAACUAGAGUAUCGUUCCAACAGGGAUCAAGUAAUCUUUUAAAUAUUAGAGUGAUUUAUUUCUAAUUAUAUUUCAAUUAAACGAAAAGAGAAUUAUGAUGAUUAAAAUCUAGUUAAGCAAACAAAAUAAAUUGAGAUUAGGAAAAUAAUUUAAAAGAUGAAAACAAAGAUGAUAAAGCACUAGGGCACCAAUUUCACCUAGCUAAUCCCACCAAAAUCCUUCUAGCUUGUUAAUUGUAAUUACCUAACAUGUUGAUAAUUGUUUUCCCUUACCUCACCAAUACUCUCUGCCGAGUUAUAUUAGUUGUAUUCCUUACCAUCAACCCCAGACUCAUAGGUACUGCACCUGUAUGUUUCCAACACCAUUAACCAAGGCAAUUUCAGAAUUAAUUCAAUCAACACAACACAACAUAAUUACUUACAAGUUAUUAUCAGAGAAUUUAUUCUGCAUAAUAUUACUUAUUUUUGUUCUAAACAAUGGGACCUAUGCGGCCAUGCCAUGGCAUUUCAAAAUUUGUAGUAACUAUGGAUAAGCUGUAUUAUUAAAAAAAUUGUUUUAUUUAUUCAGAAAAACAAAACAAUCUAUGUAGAUAGUUACUAUUUUUCUCUUUCACGUUUUUCUUCUUCUUCUUUUUUCCUCAAUGAUUGGUUUCUAUUGCACAUUUUUUAUCCACACAUCAUCUCAGUACAAGUUGACGGAACUGUGUACAGCAGGGCAAGAUUUGUAAACUACUAACUCGGUGCAAAUUUUAUAAGCUAUUCCUACCCCCAACAAAUAUUAGCCCAUACCUCCCUCCUGUGUCCUUCAAACUUUGGUGUGGUUUUUGUUUUUGUUUUUUGUUUUUGUUGCUUUUUUUAAUAUUAGCCUAACCCCCAGCCCAACCAAUAUUGUUUUCAAAAUUGACCCAACCCAACCCACCCUUAGAAAUAAUUAGGCCUCGUCAAUCGACCCGGUCCAAAUUUAAUGGGCUUGGAUCGGGCUGGAUCGGGCUUUAAAGAGGAGAGAGAAAAUGUCAAUCUAGGCCGGGCUGGAUUUUUAAAAAAAUUCAAAGUUCAAGCUAGACCCAUGAGUUAGGCUUGAAAAAGCUCAUGGCCGGAGCGGGGCCGAAAUGGGUUUACUUUAUUUUUUAUUUUUUUAAUAUUGAUUUUGUUGUCAAUUCUUUAUUUUUUUUCUAUGUUUUGGUGUGUUUCUAUGUUUCGUUUUUUUUUUCUUCAUAGUUCUCUAUUUACAUUUAUCUAUAUUUAUGUCUUCAUUUUUUUCUUUGUUCAUUUCAUAAAUUCACAAUACAUAAUUAAAAUUUAGAAAACUACAACAAAAAUUCAUAUGAACUCUUGUGACAUUCUCUUCACUGUAAAGCUCUAAAAGAGGACAUGGAAAAAGUGCCUUCUAAGUUGACAUAAUUUGAUGUAGCUCCAACAUUAUUGAUAUGGCUUAAAUUCAGUUGUGGCAAGGUGUUUGAUGAAGCAUAUAUAAAUAUCAAAUGGUGUAGCAUAUAAUCACUUUUACUAAGUUGUUGAUUGGGAUGAAAGUGGUCGGGGUUCUAAACCCCUUGUGUGUGUCUCCAUUUCCUUUCACUUUUGAACUAAAUUUAUAUUUAUAUAAAAUAUAUAGGCUUGCGGGCUGGGCCUUAAUGGGCUUUGCGAGCUGGGCUUUCAUGGGUUUAAACGGGCUUGGCCUAUGGGUCGGGCUAGACUUUAGCCACCUACGCCCAAGCCCAACCCACUAAAUAUCGGCCCAAGCUGAACUUUUUCUCGAUGGGCCAGGCGGGCCCCCAUCGACCCACGGGCCCUUAGGCCAAAUGAUGACCCCUAGAAAUAACUACAGAGAAGCUCCGUCAUCCCCCAUCCACUAUUGCUUCUUCUAUUUCUUUGUUACUUUGUUUCACUCCAUUGGCAGCCCAUCGAAACACCUCUAAACCAAUAUUCACUCCAUGGGUAAGUCAUAUUCGUUUCCUCUUAAUUUGUUUUUCACUUUCGAUUUUUCUAUUUUUUUAGUAAUUCAUUUAAUAUCAAGAGUUUAGUCAGAUAAAAUAUCGAAGUUCAUUCUUCAAGACAUCUCUACACAUCCGCAAGCACAGAAGGAAAUGCCAUAAUCAGCGCUACUUGAUACAUCAAUAUAUAGCCUAUACUUAUGACGUGCACCAAAAAUCUUAUGUUCUCCCAAUAUGUUCGUUAAAUGUUUGAACGGAUAAUAAAUAACAUCACCUUCUUACUUAUGGUUUACUUGGUUUGAAUUUUUUUAUAUUUCAUAAUACUGUGAUGAUAAAGGUGUGGUACACGAGCAAACAGUGAAGUGAUUCUAAAUUACCGAACACAACGAAAAAAAGUAAUUGAAAUAGUGUAACACCAAACAAUUUUCGCUAAUUAGGCGACAACAUGAAAUUCAAAAGUUUAUAAGUAAUUGUCUUCUAUUCUCA
rnacentral:lncRNA from 1 species